rnacentral:rRNA from 1 species
CGGUGGCGACCGGCGCACGGGUGAGUAACACGUAUCCAACCUGCCGUCUACUCUUGGACAGCCUUCUGAAAGGAAGAUUAAUACAAGAUGGCAUCAUGAGUCCGCAUGUUCACAUGAUUAAAGGUAUUCCGGUAGACGAUGGGGAUGCGUUCCAUUAGAUAGUAGGCGGGGUAACGGCCCACCUAGUCUUCGAUGGAUAGGGGUUCUGAGAGGAAGGUCCCCCACAUUGGAACUGAGACACGGUCCAAACUCCUACGGGAGGCAGCAGUGAGGAAUAUUGGUCAAUGGGCGAGAGCCUGAACCAGCCAAGUAGCGUGAAGGAUGACUGCCCUAUGGGUUGUAAACUUCUUUUAUAAAGGAAUAAAGUCGGGUAUGGAUACCCGUUUGCAUGUACUUUAUGAAUAAGGAUCGGCUAACUCCGUGCCAGCAGCCGCGGUAAUACGGAGGAUCCGAGCGUUAUCCGGAUUUAUUGGGUUUAAAGGGAGCGUAGAUGGAUGUUUAAGUCAGUUGUGAGAGUUUGCGGCUCAACCGUAAAAUUGCAGUUGAUACUGGAUAUCUUGAGUGCAGUUGAGGCAGGCGGAAUUCGUGGUGUAGCGGUGAAAUGCUUAGAUAUCACGAAG